CCUACGGGAGGCAGCAGUGAGGAAUAUUGGUCAAUGGACGAGAGUCUGAACCAGCCAAGUAGCGUGAAGGAUGACUGCCCUAUGGGUUGUAAACUUCUUUUAUAUGGGAAUAAAAUGUUCCACGUGUGGGAUUUUGUAUGUACCAUAUGAAUAAGGAUCGGCUAAAUCCGUGCCAGCAGCCGCGGUAAUACGGAGGAUCCGAGCGUUAUCCGGAUUUAUUGGGUUUAAAGGGAGCGUAGGUGGAUUGUUAAGUCAGUUGUGAAAGUUUGCGGCUCAACCGUAAAAUUGCAGUUGAAACUGGCAGUCUUGAGUACAGUAGAGGUGGGCGAAAUUCGUGGUGUAGCGGUGAAAUGCUUAGAUAUCACGAAGAACUCCGAUGGCGAAGGCAGCUCACUGGACAGUAACUGACGCUGAGGCGCGAAAGCGUGGGGAGCAAACAGGAUUAGAUACCCUUGUAGUC
rnacentral:rRNA from 1 species